rnacentral:rRNA from 1 species
UGAACGCUGGCGGUAGGCCUACCACAUGCAAAUCGAACGGCAGCACAGUAAGAGCUUGCUCUUACGGGUGGCGAGUGGCGGACGGGUGAGGAAUACAUCGGAAUCUACUUUUUCGUGGGGGAUAACGUAGGGAAACUUACGCUAAUACCGCAUACGACCUACGGGUGAAAGCAGGGGAUCUUCGGACCUUGCGCGAUUGAAUGAGCCGAUGUCGGAUUAGCUAGUUGGCGGGGUAAAGGCCCACCAAGGCGACGAUCCGUAGCUGGUCUGAGAGGAUGAUCAGCCACACUGGAACUGAGACACGGUCCAGACUCCUACGGGAGGCAGCAGUGGGGAAUAUUGGACAAUGGGCGCAAGCCUGAUCCAGCCAUACCGCGUGGGUGAAGAAGGCCUUCGGGUUGUAAAGCCCUUUUGUUGGGAAAGAAAAGCAGCAGGUUAAUACCCCGCUGUUCUGACGGUACCCAAAGAAUAAGCACCGGCUAACUUCGUG